GGGUUGUGAGGUUAAGCGACUAAGCGUACACGGUGGAUGCCCUGGCAGUCAGAGGCGAUGAAGGACGUGCUAAUCUGCGAAAAGCGCCGGCGAGGUGAUAUGAACCUUUGACCCGGCGAUGUCCGAAUGGGGAAACCCAGUGUGAUUCGUCACACUAUCGUUAACUGAAUACAUAGGUUAACGAGGCGAACCGGGGGAACUGAAACAUCUAAGUACCCCGAGGAAAAGAAAUCAACCGAGAUUCCCCCAGUAGCGGCGAGCGAACGGGGAGCAGCCCAGAGUCUGAAUCAGCGUGUGUGUUAGUGGAAGCGUCUGGAAAGUCGCACGAUACAGGGUGAAAGUCCCGUACACGAAAGCACACAUGCUGUGAACUCGAAGAGUAGGGCGGGACACGUGGUAUCCUGUCUGAAUAUGGGGGGACCAUCCUCCAAGGCUAAAUACUCCUGACUGACCGAUAGUGAACCAGUACCGUGAGGGAAAGGCGAAAAGAACCCCGGCGAGGGGAGUGAAAAAGAACCUGAAACCGUGUACGUACAAGCAGUGGGAGCACCCUUUGGGGUGUGACUGCGUACCUUUUGUAUAAUGGGUCAGCGACUUAUAUUCUGUAGCAAGGUUAACCGAAUAGGGGAGCCGAAGGGAAACCGAGUCUUAACUGGGCGUUAAGUUGCAGGGUAUAGACCCGAAACCCGGUGAUCUAGCCAUGGGCAGGUUGAAGGUUGGGUAACACUAACUGGAGGACCGAACCGACUAAUGUUGAAAAAUUAGCGGAUGACCUGUGGCUGGGGGUGAAAGGCCAAUCAAACCGGGAGAUAGCUGGUUCUCCCCGAAAGCUAUUUAGGUAGCGCCUCGUGAACUCAUCUUCGGGGGUAGAGCACUGUUUCGGCUAGGGGGUCAUCCCGACUUACCAACCCGAUGCAAACUGCGAAUACCGAAGAAUGUUAUCACGGGAGACACACGGCGGGUGCUAACGUCCGUCGUGAAGAGGGAAACAACCCAGACCGCCAGCUAAGGUCCCAAAGUCAUGGUUAAGUGGGAAACGAUGUGGGAAGGCCCAGACAGCCAGGAUGUUGGCUUAGAAGCAGCCAUCAUUUAAAGAAAGCGUAAUAGCUCACUGGUCGAGUCGGCCUGCGCGG
rnacentral:rRNA from 1 species